rnacentral:rRNA from 1 species
AGAGUUUGAUCAUGGCUCAGGAUGAACGCUAGCUACAGGCUUAACACAUGCAAGUCGAGGGGCAGCAUUUUAGUUUGCUUGCAAACUAAAGAUGGCGACCGGCGCACGGGUGAGUAACACGUAUCCAACCUGCCGUCUACUCUUGGACAGCCUUCUGAAAGGAAGAUUAAUACAAGAUGGCAUCAUGAGUCCGCAUGUUCACAUGAUUAAAGGUAUUCCGGUAGACGAUGGGGAUGCGUUCCAUUAGAUAGUAGGCGGGGUAACGGCCCACCUAGUCUUCGAUGGAUAGGGGUUCUGAGAGGAAGGUCCCCCACAUUGGAACUGAGACACGGUCCAAACUCCUACGGGAGGCAGCA